ACUAUGUGUGUAUCUCUUCUUUGAGAUUACUCUAAUUUUUAGGGAUGGUCUCCUUUCACUUCUCCUAGAACCAAUGGAAAAGAAGGCCAAUCACUUCACCAAACCCUGAAGCCCAAUACUGAAUAAUUUCUUUUGUUAUUAUACUAAAUUGCUGUCAUCUCUAAGGAAUAACCUGCAUAACUUGUUGACAUGGGCUGCAAACCAACAAAGUAAUCUUAAUUAGAAUAAUUUUACCCACCAUAACCAGUUACUGAACAUACAUGAUGAGUCUCUUGGCACAAACAGUGUGAGUGUUCAACCAUGAUUGAGUUCCAAAAUAGCUCACUUUUGCAUUAUAUUCUGCUCUUCUCGACCUACCAAAUUGACUAGUAUGUCCUUAAGUGGACAGACUGAGAGAAGAAAACCACAAAAGCAAAACAAACACUUGCUAAUGGAACAAUGAUCAUGACCCUAUAAAUUGUCCAACCAUACUGACAGCACACUUAGAGAACAUCUUUCCUGUUUUCUCAAUUCUUGGAACAUUUUCUUCAAAGGGCAGUGAAAGUAGACAGUCUCUUCUUGAAAGCAUUAGAUAUAGAAGAUGGAUGUGGAUCAUUUCUUGUCAAAUCCGUCGGGCGACAUAGAUGGUUUUGCAGCAGGAAGCUGACAAUCAAAGGUUUAAGGAGAAGAUUAAGAAGAUGAGUUAAUUGUUUUGCAAUAGAAAAGCAAAGGAUUUUGGUUCCUCCUAAACCUUGCUCCUAAUCUUUACAGAAACAGAGAACAGCGUAAAUAUGACCCAUGGACAUGGCUUCCAUGCUUUUUUGUCUCCAAGCAGUGUAACUCCAAAACUAACGUGUAGUUCUAUCCUCACUACACGUUAGUCUGUGUGCAGCUCAACAUGCAGCUAAACCCAUCUAUCCUCCAAUAAAACAGACCAUGUGUGUAGCUCUAGAUGCUUUUAUUGAAAGAACAGGAUAUGGUGAAACUGGGGAAAACAGGAAUACAUACAAUAAGAACCAAAUACAAGAUAGGCAGUAUUGAAUUGCUACUGAACAUAACAAUUAAUAAAUACAAAUAUA